GGCCGUAUAGUGAAGCGGAUAACACGUCUCCCUCCUAAGGAGAAGAUCCUGGGUUCGAAUCCCAGUUCGGCCU